rnacentral:lncRNA from 1 species
CAGACUCCACGUGGCACACCCUGGUGAUAGCCACGGGUCCACUCCACUACUCUUCGCAGCAAACUCCGCCUGACCCUGGGCAGCCCACUGCCAGACGGUUACAGAUGUCGCUGUCAGGCUACUGCCCCCUCCGCCUAUAAAAGGGGGCUCCAGAUAUGUUAUUCAAUAAGCUCUCAUCUUUCAUCUAAAAACUCUGCUAAAUUCUCCGUUCAAGCACUCC